AGUCAGAGCAAGGAUCUGUCCCCUCGCUCCCUAUUUUCCCCAUCCAGCUGAGAUUCCACGAUCUGCCCCCUCAGCCAGGCCCUCGCGGACCCCCACCUCUCUUGCUUCGUCGUCUUGUAUCGUCCACCCUCCCCAAACACCCGGAAAAACCUCACCUCGGAUCAUGCCACAGUUUCUGAGUUCUUUGUACACCUGGGCUGCUGAACUCUGCUUGAGAUCAGAUGACCUCACAGACUGGUGCCACCAUAAAUUCAUGACUGCCAGACUCCACGGGGCCCUCUGUGUUGCCUGCGAUCUGCUCUCUCACAGGGCUGCUGCUCCAGUUGACUCAUGCUUCUCCCCCCCUCACGCUUCUGACCUCAACACACCUCCCCUUUAUGAAGUCAAUGCCUCUAACAGGAAAGCCCUUGACCACCCACCACCAAGCCUGUGGACACAUCCGCCUCCACACCCACCCCGGCCGGACUCUAAACUCCACCUCGUCUCAAAGAGCCCGUUCUUUGUUUGGUCCCCUCUCUGCUCCAUCUGUCAUUUUUUUCUGAGCCACCUCCUUGCCAUCAGCACCCGAGGAGAACACAGGUGGUUCCUGUAUUUAAAAAUCAAACCAACUUCCUCCCCCUUUCCCCAUGUCCCCUUCCCCAACCACCUCGCUCCUACGCUCAUUAUCUUCGUUCCCCACCGCAGUCCGCCUACUACCACCGGUCCGCUACAGUGUUCUCACCAGGGACCUCAUUGCUGUUAAGCCCAGAGGAGUCCUCACCUUGCUGGACAGCAUCUGACCCUGCCCAGCAGUCCUCGACUUCUGGAAACAUCACCUUGAUUUCGAUGACGACCAAGUCCUCUGAUUUUCUCUGACUUCUCUGGGUACAUCCUGUCAGUCUUUUUCAAGUCACCCAUUCCCUACGUGUUGGAGUCUUCGGGGGGCGCUAAGCUAUCUUCUCCGGUCACCGUACACACUCUCGCUAGAUACCUCUCACCUUGGGAAGCCUGGUGUAAUCUUCUCAGACGACUUCUACACACUCCAUCAUCUCUACGGUCUCCAUGCAGCCACCACGCUGGGUCCCUGUCCCAGGAACAGAGGGCCUUUCCAGAAGAAGUGAAGGUUCUCCUCAUGUACCGCUUUUGCAGGAAGAAAUAGAGAAGCCAGAUAUCUUAAUGCCUGACCAGGGGCCGGCCGUGGUCCCCCCGCUCCCCAUCUGCUAGAAAGUUUCCACACCCACUGGGAGUCCAGCCUGCUGGGAACCAGGGUGGACCUUUGAGUGUUUCUGUGGCCUAGAAGACCUGAGUUUCCACUGAAUUCGAUUAUUAAUUAGCUGUGCAAUCCAGGGCACAUCACUCUCCUUCUCUGACUCUCACUUCCUCUCUGUAAUUAAGGAAUUUGGACUAAAUGAUCUCUUAAGUUCUUUUUAGCUCCACUGUUCUAUUCUCACUUUCUAAGUUGCCGUUUAUAGAUGUGGAAAGGUAGGGGCACCUGGGUGGCUCAGACGGUGAAGUGUCCGACUUCAGCUCAGGUCA